GAAGCUGACCAGACAGUCGCCGCUUCGUCGUCGUCCUUUCGGGGAGACGGGCGGAGGGGAGGAAAGUCCGGGCUCCAUAGGGCAGGGUGCCAGGUAACGCCUGGGGGGGAAACCCACGACCAGUGCAACAGAGAGCAGACCGCCGAUGGCCCACGUAAGUGGGAUCAGGUAAGGGUGAAAGGGUGCGGUAAGAGCGCACCGCGCGGCUGGUAACAGUCCGUGGCACGGUAAACUCCACCCGGAGCAAGGCCAAAUAGGGGUUCAUAAGGUACGGCCCGUACUGAACCCGGGUAGGCUGCUUGAGCCAGUGAGCGAUUGCUGGCCUAGAUGAAUGACUGUCCACGACAGAACCCGGCUUAUCGGUCAGU
rnacentral:RNase_P_RNA from 1 species